UACGUAGGGGGCAAGCGUUGUCCGGAUUUAUUGGGCGUAAAGAGCUACGUAGGUGGCUGAGUAAGUCGGAUGUUAAAUCCCCAGGCUCAACCUGGGACACCACCCGAUACGUGCUCUGGCUAGAGUCCGGUAGGGGAGCGUGGAAUUCCUGGUGUAGCGGUGAAAUGCGCAGAGUAUCAAGGAGGAACGACCAGCGGCGAAAGGGCGGGCCGCC
rnacentral:rRNA from 1 species